UACGUAGGGGGCUAGCGUUGUCCGGAUUUAUUGGGCGUAAAGAGCUUGUAGGCGGUUUGUCGCGUCUGCUGUGAAAUUUCGGGGCUCAACCCCGAACUUGCAGUGGGUACGGGCAGACUAGAGUGUGGUAGGGGAGACUGGAAUUCCUGGUGUAGCGGUGAAAUGCGCAGAUAUCAGGAGGAACACCUAUUGCGAAGGCAGCUCGCUGGGACGUAACUGACGCUGAGACGCGAAAGCGUGGGGAGCAAACAGG
rnacentral:rRNA from 1 species